rnacentral:rRNA from 1 species
AAUCAACGCUGGCGGCGUGCCUUACACAUGCAAGUCGCACGAGAAAGGGACUUCGGAUCUGAAUAAAGUGGCGUACGGGUGAGUAACACGUGAAUUAUCUACCUUCGAGAGGGGAAUAACUUCGGGAAACCGAGCCUAAUACAGCAGAAUAUCGACGGACCAAAGCAGUAAUGCGCUUGAAGAGGAGUUCGCGGCAGAUUAGUUAGUUGGCGGGGUAAUGGCCCACCAAGACGAUGAUCUGUAUCCGGCCUGAGAGGGCGCACGGACACACUGGAACUGAAACACGGUCCAGACUCCUACGGGAGGCAGCAGUGGGGAAUUUUGCGCAAUGGGGGAAACCCUGACGCAGCAACGCCGCGUGGAGGAUGAAGUCUCUUGGGACGUAAACUCCUUUCGAUAGGGAAGAUUAUGACGGUACCUAUAGAAGAAGCCCCGGCUAACUUCGUGCCAGCAGCCGCAGUAA